CUCUCUCGGUCGUACUCGAUCGCAUAUGUGUAAACGGCGCUUUUGUGCAUGCACAAACAGUAGCUUCAGGAUAAAGUUGCUCAAUGCACUAACCCCAAAGGAUUUCGAUCACAUCCCGGGUGUUGAUAUUUUAUCUGUAUCCCUGCACUGCAGAACAGGUCAAGAGGCACGUAGAUUGCUGUGCGUGUGAAUAUAAAGCGAGCUGUGCUAUUUCUAAGGGGUGCUUAAUUUGUUGUUAGCUUCCUGGGAUUUCUCAAGGUACCAGUAGGUAUCCAAGCUCUACAUGCACACUGUUCCUGACACAAUUACGGCGGGAAGAAGCUUAUUUCCUUUACUUGGUUGAGCUUAAUGGUGCAAUCAUCAUGGUCUUUGCAGUGUCGACAACAAGGGAAGCGUAAUGUUGUCACUUGUUCUUUUGUUGAUUUGUGAAGCAAGUUCUGGUUUCUUUUUUGUUCCAGAAUGUGAGUCAUGAUGUUGCAGGAAGUCUGUGUGAUGAAGAAAAAACUGCAGGUGGCUAGAAGCUGCUGAGGUGCUGCCAGUCUGGAUAGCAGCCAUCAACUCAGCAAAGGCUUGUAGGCGAAGCAGCCCCACCUGUUUCUCUGCUGCCAUUCGAGACAGGAUGCUUUGUAAAAUGUGCAACAGGGCCCAUGCACCGCUUCCCCAGGGUUCUGUUGUGGGAGCUCAUGUAGGUGGCACUGUGUACAGAGGGGCAGGGUGGCUGACAGUGAGCUGCCCAAGCAAGCUGCUGGCUCUUGUGACCGUCUCCGAAAGCCCGUGGAUGGGCUAAAUCACGGUCGUGCCUGGACAUUCAUAAAUGGUGCUGCUAUCCAGCUCUACGUCACAGCCAUGAAGUGGUUAUGGGGUGAACCAUCGACAACUGCUUUCAUUAGUACUCGGAUCGGCAGAGCCACCUGCUAGCUGUGAAGCCCAGUUACCAGGCAGCAAAUACUCGACCAGCAACCAGCCUUUGUCACUCUAGUGGGACUCAAUGAUUAUGCCCGAGCCUCACUAGAGCGACAAACAGAAACAAAUGACACGGACAAGCCUCCAACCCAUGCAGCAUAUAUGUGAUGGUACCUUUUGCAGCCGUUUAUUCGUUCGGUGCUCGUGAAAUAAGCAUGAGUGAUUGUAAGCCUGCCAAAGAACCCUCGCGUGCAUGAUGCUUGUGUUUAAGCAUAGCCUCCUUUAUUCUACAAAGCCUCUCAGAUCGCGAAAGACUCAGGUUUGAGCCUUGUCGCUGUCGUUUGUCGCUGUAGUGGGCCUCUGGCAUAAGCCAGC